AAGUUAGACUCUGACUGUAAUAGGAAUGAAACACAGAAAUAUAGUAAUAUAUACAGGAUAAACUCUGAUUGGGUGAUUAUACAUAAACCUAUUCCUGGCGCACGUCUGCGCAAAAGGAAUAAAAGGAAGAGAAGUGGGGGGGGGAGGAGGGGGGUGGAGAGGAAGGUACAAAUGCCAAUUGCAAAAAGUGGAGAAAAUAAAUAAAUAAGGUAGCGUGUUAGAAUGCUCCUGCAUACAGAAUCCUAGUAAGUGUAGCUAGAUAUACGUGAUCGCACCUCUGUGAGGCUGUGAACACACAGGCUGCUGCAUACAAAAUGUAUUACAGUAUAUCGGCAGAUAAGAGUUCACCACGGUAUCUGCCGAUAUGGUAGAGGUAUAUAUAUUAAAGUAAUGGAGAUGCCAGCCUAAAACUGUCAGUUAGUGUAGCUGGAUAUACGUAAAUCGCGCAUCUAUGAGGUUGUAACACACAGAAUGUAUCUAUAUCUGGCGGCAAGUAUGGUUACUCAAAAAUGCCACCCAAAUGCUAAAAGAAAUUCGCCUAUAUAGAUGCUAAGGAUGCAGCCCUAAAUUAAGAGCAAAAGGGUUGCCAGAUAGCACAACACUGUAUGUAUGAUACAAAAUUAGCAAAUAGUGUCUAACACUAACUAGAAAUGAUAGCGCUACGGCUGACACUCCACCCCCGUGCCUUCGAGGGCACCUAACGCUGACCCCCCUAAUAUCAAACUAUACCCAAAUCAGAGGACACACAAAAU